CAACAAUGUCCAACAGACACAACGG
rnacentral:piRNA from 2 species